GCCUGGCUAGCUCAGUCGGUAGAGCACGAGAUUCUCUCAGGGUUGUGGGUUAAAGUCCCACGUUGGGGCA
rnacentral:tRNA from 1 species